rnacentral:rRNA from 1 species
GACGAACGCUGGCGGCGUGCCUAAUACAUGCAAGUAGAACGCUGAAGAGAGGAGCUUGCUCUUCUUGGAUGAGUUGCGAACGGGUGAGUAACGCGUAGGUAACCUGCCUUGUAGCGGGGGAUAACUAUUGGAAACGAUAGCUAAUACCGCAUAACAAUGGAUGACACAUGUCAUUUAUUUGAAAGGGGCAAUUGCUCCACUACAAGAUGGACCUGCGUUGUAUUAGCUAGUAGGUGAGGUAAUGGCUCACCUAGGCGACGAUACAUAGCCGACCUGAGAGGGUGAUCGGCCACACUGGGACUGAGACACGGCCCAGACUCCUACGGGAGGCAGCAGUAGGGAAUCUUCGGCAAUGGGGGCAACCCUGACCGAGCAACGCCGCGUGAGGGAAGAAGGUUGUCGGAUCGUAAAGCUCGGUUGUAAGUCAAGAACGGGUGUGAGAGUGGAAAGUUCACACUGUGACGGUAGCUUACCAGAAAGAGACGGCUAACUACGUG